UUAGAAUGCGUCAAAAUAUGUAU
rnacentral:snRNA from 1 species